AGAGUUUGAUCCUGGCUCAGGACGAACGUUGGCGGUGCGCUUAAUGCAUGCAAGUCGAGGGAGAACCUUUCGAUCCGUAAGGACCGAAUGGGGAAACCGGCGAACGGGUGCGUAACACGUGAGGAACCUGCCCCGAAGACCGGGAUAGCCCGAGGAAACUCGGAUUAAUACCGGAUACCCUCCUCGGACCACAUGGUCUGUUGAGGAAAUGGUCCGCCGCUUCGGGAUGGCCUCGCGGCCUAUCAGCUUGUUGGUGAGGUAAUGGCUCACCAAGGCAAAGACGGGUAGCUGGUCUGAGAGGACGAUCAGCCACACUGGGACUGAGACACGGCCCAGACUCCUACGGGAGGCAGCAGCAGGGAAUAUUGCACAAUGGGCGAAAGCCUGAUGCAGCGACACCGCGUGCGGGAUGAAGGCCCUCGGGUUGUAAACCGCUUUCAGGAGGGACGAAAAUGACGGUACCUCCAGAAGAAGGCCCGGCCAACUACGUGCCAGCAGCCGCGGUAAUACGUAGGGGCCAAACGUUGUCCGGGAUUAUUGGGCGUAAAGGGCUCGUAGGCGGUUCAACAAGUCGAUCGUGAAAGCCCGGGGGCUCAACCCGGGGACGCCGGUCGAAACUGUUGUGACUAGGGUCCCGUAGAGGUGAGUGGAAUUCUCGGUGUAACGGUGGAAUGCGCAAAUUCCAGAGGAACACCAGUU
rnacentral:rRNA from 1 species